UGAGGAAUAUUGGUCAAUGGGCGGGAGCCUGAACCCAGCCAAGCCGCGUGAGGGAGGAAGGCCCUAUGGGUCGUAAACCUCUUUUGUCAGGGAACAAAAGCGAGUAUGUAUACUAGUCUGAGUGUACCUGAAGAAAAAGCAUCGGCUAACUCCGUGCCAGCAGCCGCGGUAAUACGGAGGAUGCGAGCGUUAUCCGGAUUUAUUGGGUUUAAAGGGUGCGUAGGCGGCGGUGCAAGUCAGCGGUAAAAGCCCGGGGCUCAACCCCGGCGAGCCGUUGAAACUGCAGUGCUAGAGAAGGCGAGAGGUACGCGGAAUGCGCAGUGUAGCGGUGAAAUGCUUAGAUAUUGCGCAGAACUCCGAUUGCGAAGGCAGCGUACUGGCGCCUGACUGACGCUGAGGCACGAAAGCGUGGGGAUCGAACAGGAUUAGAUACCC
rnacentral:rRNA from 1 species